CCGGACAGAGAGACCUGUGAUCCUUGCACAUUCCACUAGUUCAGUAGUAUCAGCCUGGGUCAGUACUUGGAUGGGAGGCCAUCUGAAAGCACCCAGGUGCUGUCCAAA
rnacentral:rRNA from 1 species